CUUAAUCUAUGUCUAAGAAUUUUAUAUGCUAUACCAAAGUAUGUGGCACUGGGUUUAGCACUUAGCAGGUACUCAGUAAAUAACAGCCAGGAGCAAUACCUCUAUUGUUAUCAUUUCUAGGGACAAUGAGGGCGCUGCUUCAUGACCAUUUGUGGUCACCACUGGCUAGGCUAAAUAUAGAGGUAAGACCGCGCGAGCGCUCUGUCCAGAGACGACUUAUUAUAAUAACACAAAUACACAAAGCAAGGAGAGGACCCAAGAUAACAGCCCUUGACAUUCAAAGCCUAGCGAGGCCGGAAACUACCAGCUUCGGUCACAGUUCCGUGAGUAGGAAAUGGGGGGGUCUCACUCUGCAGACCAAGUUGGCUGGAAACUUGCCACGUAGUCUGGGCUGACCUUAAGUCCGCAGCAAGGCAUCUGCCUCGACGUGUCAAGGACUAGGGUUACAGGUAUACACCAUCAGGCCCAGCCAAGUUUUAAUUUUAAAAUAAUAAAUGCCCUUUUAAAAAAUUCUGAAGGCACUAAAGAGUGCGACUGGGUGGUUAACAUCCCCUAAUGUCAUCCCAGGUCUCCAGGAAGAUUUCUUGUAAACAGUCACCAUUACUUCUUAACAAAAAUAUUUACUCUCACACAAGGAUGUAUGCAUAAUUUUUUAUAGAUGGAAAUUAUAGAAUUGUCUGAACAUUGCUUGGGUUUUUUUUUUUUUUGUUACAGACUUCCAAGUAUUUUCUCAAGUCAAUUUAUAUAGACUUAUCUGUUUAUCUUUAACAGUUAUCUAGAUUAUAACAAGGUAAUAUAAGGAGAUCUAUACUCUAAUAAGGUAAUAUAAGGAGGAGAUCUAUACUCUAACACAGUAAUAAAGGAGAUCUAUAACACAGUAAUAUAAGGAGAUCUAUACUCUAACAAGGUAAUAUAAGGAGAUCUAUACUCUUAACAAAAUAAUAUAAGGAGAUCUGUACUCUAACACAGUAAUAUAAGGAGCUCUAUACUAUAACAGGGUAAUACAAAGAGAUCUAUACUAUAACAGGGUAAUACAAAGAGAUCUAUACUAUAACAAGGUAAUAUAAGGAGGAGCUCUAUAGUCUAACACAAUACUAUAAGGAGGAGACUCAUAACUUGGUCAAUUCACUUUUCGCCUACCCAGAUUCCAUGGGGUGCUGAAUGGGACACUGGGGCUGUGAGGAGGGAAGCGUCUGUCCCAGAGUUUACUCGGCAUCCGGGAUGACCCAAAGUGCUGCCAGUUUCAGCAUGUGAUUUGCACAUACUUUGCUGACUUGUAAAGUCACCCCAGGUGACAUUAUUUGGCCAGUGAGUGGGGAAGACUCUGGAGGAGGGGGAGGAGCCUGUUUCCUGCUGUACAGCACAGAGCCACAUCUGGGAGACACCCCUCUUCUCUUCCAGGUUUCCAGAAUGCCUUUCCAAGCUAGAACCCAGGCUAUGAUCUGCUGGCCGGACACAACAUGCAAGAUCCCACAGAGGCCAGAAGACAAUGUUGGAUCAUCACCCCACACCUCACAUCCAAAGCUGCCGUUAAAGACAGUUGUAAGCUAUCAGAUACAAGGGCUGGCUGGCGUGGAUAUGGCGUGGAUAUGAGGGCUGGCGUGGAACCUGGGUCCUCUCAAAGGGCAGCACGCGCUCUCCACCUUUGAGCCAUCUCUCCAGCCCCCAGCAGCCAGACCUUGGAGGCCCUCGUUCUUGGAACGGUCUGGCUCAUCGUUGCUUUUCUCAACUGGACGCGAUUAUGGACGAGAAGUACAGAGCUUUAAUGGCCAUUUAAAUGGGUCUGGAAAGUGUUCCCACCUCUGGAAAGUGCCCCCCCCCCGGGUGCAUUACAUUCUAAUGAAUUAAUUAAUAAUUACAUUCUAAUUAAUCUAUGCUUUUGAAGGCUAGUCAGCCUUCCUUCUUGUCCUUUGUCAAAGAGAGGAUUUGUGU